rnacentral:tRNA from 1 species
AGGAGAAUAGCUCAGUCGGUAGAGCAGCGGUUUCCAAAACCGAAGGUCAGGGGUUCAAGUCCCUUUUUUCCUG